CAGGCUACUCCUUCUCAAGUCUUCAGACACACAGCCCUCUCUGCUGUGAAACCCUCUCCUCACCUCCGAGACCCGCUCAUUAUUGUCUGCUGAAUUCUACUCAUUCUUCAGGGCUGACAUACAGACAACCCGCUGGGAAGCCUCCGCCAACCAUUUCUGAAAAAUUAGUCCCUCUUACCAUAGCACUUACCUACUCCCCCGCUUCUAUUCUAUUCUCUUCACCCAGCCUUUCUAGAUAGCCAAGUAUGUGCCAGUGUCCUGGACUAAGGUUGGAGCAGGUCGUCAGGAAAAGCAGCAGAGGAGGAACACCAUUUCAGUAGGAUCCUGAACGAUGACUAGAGACUCACUCGGUGAAUGAGAAAGGGCAGGACACGCCCAGGACACGCCCGGGAGGAAGCAGCAAGAGGACAGGCUUGGAGAUGGCAAGUGCCUGGCAUCUUUGGGGAGGAGUGAGCAGUUCAGGAUAGCUGAGCUCUGGUGGAGGGCAGCUCCAGAGGAGACAGAAAAGAAUCUUCUCACUCCCCAUGAAAAGGUGGAGUCUAUUUCCCCUUCCCUUGAACUUGUUAGGCUUAUCACUGCUCACAUGAAUAGAGUGGAUGGACGUGAUGGUACAUGAGUGCCCAACUCAAAACGAUACAGCUUAGCUUCUGCCCAGGUCUCUCUCAACAUGUUAUGAGCAAGCCCAGAGCACAUGGAGAGGUCACAUGGAGGUCUUCUGGUCAAUAGCCACAGAUGAGUUUCAGCCUACAGUGAGCAUCAACUGCCAGAAAUCUAAGUGAGCAAACUUCCAAUGAUUCUCAGCUCCCAGCUUUCAAGUCUUCCAGCUACGGCCGCAGACAUUGUGGAUGGAGACAAGCUGUCCCCACCAUGACCAGAUUGAAUUUCUGACCCACGGAAUCAAUAAGCCUAAUAAAUAAUUGUUUUAUGCCAGUGAAUUUGGGAUGAUUUGUUAUGCAGCCAUAGUAACCGGAAUGAUAAUUAGGUAUCUUGUUGUUUUUUAAGUGUCCAGCUGGAUUGUAGGUUUCAUGAG
rnacentral:lncRNA from 1 species